GACGUAGGGCGCGAGCGUUGUCCGGAUUUAUUGGGCGUAAAGAGCUCGUAGGCGGCUUGUCGCGUCGUCCGUGAAAACUUGGGGCUCAACCCCAAGCUUGCGGUCGAUACGGGCGGACUUGAGUGUUGCAGGGGAGACUGGAAUUCCUGGUGUAGCGGUGAAAUGCGCAGAUAUCAGGAGGAACACCGGUGGCGAAGGCGGGUCUCUGGGCAACUACUGACGCUGAGGAGCGAAAGCGUGGGGAGCGAACAGG
rnacentral:rRNA from 1 species